rnacentral:tRNA from 1 species
CAAAAUGUAGCUUAACCAAAGCAUCUCGCUUACACCGAGAAAACACCCGUUCAACCCAGGUCAUUUUGA